UCAAGUGACUAAGUGCAUGUGGCGGAUGCCUUGGCGAUCACAGGCGAAGAAAGACGCGGCAGCCUGCGAAAAGCUGCGGGGAGCUGGCAAACGAGCUUUGAUCCGCAGAUAUCUGAAUGGGGGAACCCACACCGCAAGGUGUAUCCGUAGCUGAAUACAUAGGUUACGGAGGCGAACGAGGAGAACUGAAACAUCUAAGUAUCCUCAGGAAAAGAAAUCAACCGAGAUUCCGGCAGUAGCGGCGAGCGAACCCGGAGGAGCCCAGCUUUUGAUAGUACGAACUUUAGCCGAAAGGUCCUGGAAAGGCCUGCUAUAGUGGGUGAUAGCCCCGUAGGCGAAAGAGUUGGUACGGUACUAAGGAAGCGAGAAGUAGAGCGGGACACGUGGAAUCCUGUUCGAAGACGGGGGGACCAUCCUCCAAGGCUAAAUACUCGUGAUCGACCGAUAGUGAACCAGUACCGUGAGGGAAAGGCGAAAAGAACCCCGGGAGGGGAGUGAAAUAGAACCUGAAACCGCAUGCAUACAAACAGUAGGAGCCUCGUCAGAGGUGACUGCGUACCUUUUGCAUAAUGGGUCAGCGACUUACAUUCUGUGGCGAGCUUAACCGAAUAGGGGAGGCGCAGCGAAAGCGAGUUCGAAAUGAGCGUCCAGUCGCAGGGUGUAGACCCGAAACCAGAUGAGCUAUCCAUGGCCAGGUUGAAGGUGUGGUAACACACACUGGAGGACCGAACCGACUAGUGUUGCAAAAUUAGCGGAUGAGCUGUGGAUAGGGGUGAAAGGCCAAACAAAUCUGGAGAUAGCUGGUUCUCCCCGAAAACUAUUGAGGUAGUGCCUCGUGUGUCGCUCCAGGGGGUAGAGCACUGUUUUGGCUAGGGGGACAUGGAGUCUUACCAAACCAAGGCAAACUCCGAAUACCUGGAAGCGUGAGCACGGGAGACAGAGCACCGGGUGCUAACGUCCGGACUCAAAAGGGAAACAACCCAGACCGCCGGCUAAGGUCCCAAAUAACAGCUAAGUGGAAAACGAAGUGGAAAGGCCGUGACAACCAGGAAGUUGGCUUAGAAGCAGCCAUCCUUCAAAGAAAGCGUAAUAGCUCACUGGUCGAGUCCUUCUGCGCGGAAGAUGUAACGGGGCUAAGCUGUUAACCGAAGCCGCGGAUGCGCUGGUUAUCCAGUGCGUGGUAGGGGAGCGUUCUGUAAGUCUGCGAAGGCGGUUCGAGAGGACUGCUGGAGAUAUCAGAAGUGCGAAUGCUGACAUGAGUAACGUUAAAGCAGGUGAAAAGCCUGCUCGCCGUAAGCCCAAGGAUUCCUGCUCUACGUUCAUCGGAGCAGGGUGAGUCGGCUCCUAAGGUCAGGCCGAAAGGCGUAGCCGAUGGGAAUCAGGUUAAUAUUCCUGAACCUGCGUCAGAUGCGAUGGGGGGACGGAGCAUGGAAGAUCAUCCGGGUGUUGGAAGUCCCGGUUGUUUAGCGUAGGAGGUCUGCAGGCAAAUCCGCAGACGCAUCUCCAAGGCAAAGACACGUGCCGCCACGGCGGCGAAGUGAUCGGAAGUGCUUCCAAGAAAAGCCUCUAAGCUUCAGUCUGAUGCGGACCGUACCGCAAACCGACACUGGUGGGCGAGCUGAAUAUGCUCAGGCGCUUGAGAGAACUCGGGAGAAGGAACUCGGCAAAUUGACACCGUAACUUCGGAAGAAGGUGUGCCGUAGUACCGUGAGAGGAGAGACACCUUGAGCGGGAAACGGUCUCAGAGAAUAGGUGGCUGCGACUGUUUAUUAAAAACACAGCACUCUGCAAAGUCGAAAGACGACGUAUAGGGUGUGAUGCCUGCCCGGUGCUGGAAGAUUAAUUGAUGGGGUGAGAGCCCUUGAUCGAAGUCCCAGUAAACGGCGGCCGUAACUAUAACGGUCCUAAGGUAGCGAAAUUCCUUGUC
rnacentral:rRNA from 1 species